rnacentral:rRNA from 1 species
GUGGGGAAUCUUAGACAAUGGGGGAAACCCUGAUCUAGCCAUGCCGCGUGAGUGAUGAAGGCCUUAGGGUUGUAAAGCUCUUUCAGCUGGGAAGAUAAUGACUGUACCAGCAGAAGAAGCCCCGGCUAACUCCGUGCCAGCAGCCGCGGUAAUACGGAGGGGGCUAGCGUUGUUCGGAAUUACUGGGCGUAAAGCGCACGUAGGCGGACCGGAAAGUCAGAGGUGAAAUCCCAGGGCUCAACCUUGGAACUGCCUUUGAAACUCCUGGUCUUGAGGUCGAGAGAGGUGAGUGGAAUUCCGAGUGUAGAGGUGAAAUUCGUAGAUAUUCGGAGGAACACCAGUGGCGAAGGCGGCUCACUGGCUCGAUACUGACGCUGAGGUGCGAAAGCGUGGGGAGCAAACAGGAUUAGAAACCCUGGUAGUCC